rnacentral:rRNA from 1 species
UACGAAGGGGCUAGCGUUGCUCGGAAUCACUGGGCGUAAAGGGUGCGUAGGCGGGUUAUUAAGUCAGAGGUGAAAUCCUGGAGCUCAACUCCAGAACUGCCUUUGAUACUGAUAGUCUUGAGUAUGGGAGAGGUGAGUGGAACUGCGAGUGUAGAGGUGAAAUUCGUAGAUAUUCGCAAGAACACCAGUGGCGAAAGGCGGCU